UGGGGAAUCUUGCGCAAUGGGCGAAAGCCUGACGCAGCAACGCCGCGUGGAGGAAGAAGGCCUUCGGGUUGUAAACUCCUGUCAGGGGGAAAGAAGGCACCUGGGUUAAUAGCCCACGGGCUGACGGUACCCCCAGAGGAAGCCACGGCUAACUACGUGCCAGCAGCCGCGGUAAUACGUAGGUGGCGAGCGUUGUCCGGAAUUAUUGGGCGUAAAGAGCGCGUAGGCGGCUUGUCAGGUCCGACGUGAAAUCCCGGGGCUCAACCC
rnacentral:rRNA from 1 species